AUGAAAAAGCUGGCUUAUACAGUACUUUACCAGACCGCUCUCUCUCUCUCUCUCUCUCUCUCUCUCUCUCUCUCUCUAAAUGAUCCACUCUACUCCACCAACAGAUACUGGAACAGUAGGUGUUACUUUUUCUCUUUUGCUCUCUCUGUUUCUCUCACUCCAUCUCUGUUUCUCUCACUCCAUCUCUCUCUGUUUCUCUCACUCCAUCUCUCUCUGUUUCUCUCACUCCAUCUCUCUGUUUCUCUCACUCCGUCUCUCUCUGUUUGUCUCACUCCGUCUCUCUCUGUUUCUCUCACUCCGUCUCUCUCUGUUUCUCUCACUCCGUCUCUCUCUGUUUCUCUCACUCCAUCUCUCUCUGUUUCUCUCACUCCAUCUCUCUCUGUUUCUCUCACUCCAUCUCUCUCUGUUUCUCUCACUCAUCUCUCUCUGUUUCUCUCACUCCAUCUCUCUCUGUUUCUCUCACUCCAUCUCUCUCUGUUUCUCUCACUCUGUCUCUCUCUGUUUCUCUCACUCCAUCUCUCUCUGUUUCUCACUCCAUCUAUCUCUGUUUCUCUCACUCCAUCUCUCUCUGUUUCUCACUCCAUCUAUCUCUGUUUCUCUCACUCCAUCUCUCUCUGUUUCUCUCACUCCAUCUCUCUCUGUUUCUCUCACUCCAUCUCUCUCUGUUUCUCUCACUCCAUCUCUCUCUGUUUCUCUCACUCAUCACUCUCUGUUUCUCUCACUCCAUCUCUCUCUGUUUCUCUCACUCCGUCUCUCUCUGUUUCUCUCAUCUCUCUCUGUUUCUCACUCCAUCUAUCUCUGUUUCUCUCACCUCAUCUCUCUGUUUCUCUCACUCCAUCUCUCUCUGUUUCUCUCACUCAUCACUCUCUGUUUCUCUCACUCAUCACUCUCUGUUUCUCUCACUCCAUCUCUCUCUGUUUCUCUCACUCCGUCUCUCUCUGUUUCUCUCACUCCGUCUCUCUCUGUUUCUCUCACUCUGUCUCUCUCUGUUUCUCUCACUCCAUCUCUCUCUGUUUCUCUCACUCCAUCUCUCUCUGUUUCUCUCACUCCAUCUCUCUCUGUUUCUCUCACUCCAUCUCUCUCUGUUUCUCUCACUCCGUCUCUCUCUGUUUCUCUCACUCCGUCUCUCUCUGUUUCUCUCACUCCGUCUCUCUCUGUUUCUCUCACUCCAUCUCUCUCUGUUUCUCUCACUCCAUCUCUCUCUGUUUCUCUCACUCCAUCUCUCUCUGUUUCUCUCACUCAUCACUCUCUGUUUCUCUCACUCCAUCUCUCUCUGUUUCUCUCACUCAUCUCUCUCUGUUUCUCUCACUCCAUCUCUCUGUUUCUCUCACUCCAUCUCUCUCUGUUUCUCUCACUCAUCUCUCUCUGUUUCUCUCACUCCGUCUCUCUCUGUUUCUCUCACUCCGUCUCUCUCUGUUUCUCUCACUCCAUCUUUCUGUUUCUCACUCAUCUCUCUCUGGUUCUCUCACUCUCAUCUCUCUGUUUCUCUCACUCAUCUCUCUCUGUUUCUCUCACUCCAUCUCUCUCUGUUUCUCUCACUCCGUCUCUCUCUGUUUCUCUCACUCCGUCUCUCUCUGUUUCUCUCACUCUGUCUCUCUCUGUUUCUCUCACUCCAUCUCUCUCUGUUUCUCUCACUCCAUCUCUCUCUGUUUCUCUCACUCCGUCUCUCUCUGUUUCUCUCACUCCGUCUCUCUCUGUUUCUCUCACUCAUCUCUCUCUGUUUUCUCACUCCAUCUAUCUCUGUUUCUCUCACUCCAUCUCUCUCUGUUUCGCUCACUCCAUCUCUCUCUGUUUCUCACUCAUCUCUCUCUGGUUCUCUCACUCUGUCUCUCUCUGUUUCUCUCACUCCAUCUCUCUCUGUUUCUCACUCAUCUCUCUCUGGUUCUCUCACUCUGUCUCUCUCUGUUUCUCUCACUCCAUCUCUCUCUGUUUCUCUCACUCCAUCUCUCUCUGUUUCUCUCACUCCGUCUCUCUCUGUUUCUUUCACUCCAUCUCUCUCUGUUUCUCUCACUCCAUCUCUCUCUCUGUUUCUCUCACUCCAUCUCUCUCUGUUUCUCUCACUCCAUCUAUCUCUGUUUCUCUCACUUCAUCUCUCUGUUUCUCUCACUCCAUCUCUCUCUGUUUCUCUCACUCAUCUCUCUCUGUUUCUCACUCCAUCUCUCUCUGUUUCUCUCACUCCAUCUCUCUCUCUGUUUCUCUCACUCCAUCUCUCUCUCUGUUUCUCUCACUCCAUCUCUCUCUCUGUUUCUCUCACUCCAUCUCUCUCUCUGUUUCUCUCACUCCGUCUCUCUAUGUUUCUCUCACUCCAUCUCUCUGUUUCUCUCACUCCAUAUCUCUCUGUUUCUCUCACUCCAUAUCUCUCUGUUUCUCUCACUCCAUCUCUCUAUGUUUCUCUCACUCCAUCUCUCUCUGUUUCUCUCACUCCAUCUCUCUCUGUUUCUCUCACUCCAUCUCUCUCUGUUUCUCUCACUCCAUCUCUCUGUUUCUCACUCCAUCUAUCUCUGUUUCUCUCACUUCAUCUCUCUGUUUCUCUCACUCAUCUCUCUCUGUUUCUCUCACUCCAUCUCUCUCUGUUUCUCUCACUCCAUCUCUCUGUUUCUCUCCAUCUCUCUCUGUUUCUCUCACCCCAUCUCUGUUUUUCUUUCGCUCUCCCUCUCUCUCUCUCCUUCCCCAUCUCUCUCUUCAUCUGUCUCCCUUUCUUCCUCACCAUCUCUCACUCCCCCUCCCCCCUCUGCAUCACUCUCUCUCCAUCCCUCCCUUCUCUCUAUUUUUCUCUCUCUCUGUCUCCCUCUCUCCCACAGAAAGAGCCUAAGGUGA
rnacentral:lncRNA from 8 species